CACCGGCGGCGAAGGCGGCNUACUGGACUGUAACUGACGUUGAGGCUCGAAAGCGUGGGGGAGCAAACAGGAUUAGAUACCCUGGUAGUCCACGCUGUAAACGAUGAUUACUAGGUGUUGGGUGUCAAAGACAUUCGGUGCCGCAGCAAACGCAGUAAGUAAUCCACCUGGGGAGUACGUUCGCAAGAAU
rnacentral:rRNA from 1 species